ensembl:lncRNA
CACUAGCCACUUUAACUAUGCCACUUGGUUUACAUACUUAUCUCAUAUGUAUAUACUGUACUCGAUAUCAUCUACUGUAUCUUGCCUAUGCUGCUCUGUACCAUCACUCAUUCAUAUAUCCUUAUGUACAUAUUCUUUAUCCCCUUACACUGUGUAUAAGACAGUAGUUUUGGAAUUGUUAGUUAGAUUACUUGUUGGUUAUUACUGCAUUGUCGGAACUAGAAGCACAAGCAAUUCGCUACACUCGCAUUAACAUCUGCUAACCAUGUGUAUGUGACAAAUAAAAUUUGAUUUGAUUUGAUUUGAUUUGAAGCUACUCAAUACUGCCCCUACAGCCAUAAGAAGUUAAUGCAUUUAUUUAUUAAGAUCUUUAUUUAUUUAUUUUAGCAGUCUCAUUGAGACCAAGGAUUAUUUUGCAAACAUCUAAAUCACAGCAGCAUAGUAAAUACUCCAAGAAAAUAAACCAACCACAUUCCUUAGUAAAGAGGUACGCAACCAACUGUCUGAGUUGCUGAUGAUGUCGCCGUAGUCUAGGACCGGAAGAAACAGAGGAGAGGAAACAUGGGAACAAAUGCGCUCAAAUGACACAUUCCUUCUCCACUAGCACGUCAUCAGGCAAAUUACAUUGACCUGGAUGAGUUCAGAAGGUGAGGGGUUAGGGGGUCAACAUCAGGAGACCAGGCUUCUCAAAAGGGAGGUGGUGGUGACCUUUUCCCUCUUCUGCGGGAGAGAGACCGAGAGAAAGAGGCAGGGGUGGUGGCCUUCUCCCUCUCCUGUGGCAGGGGAGGUGUAUGAUUUCAGAAAACAUAGCAGGCAUCGUCUGAGCUCUCAGCAAUAGGACAUCUAUCUUCAUCUGAGCUCAUCUUCAUCAGUCGUCAAAAAUAUCCCCUUCUCCCAGAAUCAGCUUGUGGUAGCUGUUCCUGCUGUUGACUUGGUUUUGUGCCCACUGCCUAAAAGUCACAUAUAAAGCAGUAAAUUAUUUACAAUUCCAUUACACAAAAUAGUGUGGAGGGUAUUUGUAAAGCAAGACAAAAUGUUCGGUCCAAAAAUAGUAUAAACCUCAACUUCCUCUGAUCUUGCAGCUGUAGGGACAGUGCCUCCAGGGAUCCUACUGCUCUUUGUAGGCUCCCCUAGUGCCUCCUCUCCUGCACCAGGACCUUCUCUUCCUCCUGCAGUCUGUUCACCAUCAGUCUGUCGAAGAUUCUUUUUUAUUUUUUUUGUAAAUCAAAAAGGCAAUGUAACCUAUUUAACUGGGCAACGAAGUUAAGAACAAAUUCUUAUUUACAAUGGCAUCCUACACCGGCAACGCUGGGCCAGUUGUGCACCACCCUAUGGGACUCCCAAUUAUGGCCAGUUGUGCACCACCCUAUGGGACUCCCAAUCAUGGCCAGUUGUGCACCACCCUAUGGGACUCCCAAUCAUGGCCAGUUGUGCACCACCCUAUGGGACUCCCAAUCAUGGCCAGUUGUGCACCACCCUAUGGGACUCCCAAUCAUGGCCAGUUGUGCACCACCCUAUGGGCCUCCCAAUCAUGGCCAGUUGUGAUACAACUGGACUUGAACCAGGGUGUCUGUAGCGACACAUCUAGCACUGAGAUGCAGUGUCUUAGACCCCUGCUCCACUCUGGAGCCCCCAUAUAGCACUGAGAUGCAGUGUCUUAGACCCCUGCUCCACUCUGGAGCCCCCACAUAGCACUGAGAUGCAGUGUCUUAGACCCCUGCUCCACUCUGGAGCCCCCCACAUAGCACUGAGAUGCAGUGUCUUAGACCCCUGCUCCACUCUGGAGCCCCCCAUAUAGCACUGAGAUGCAGUGUCUUAGACCCCUGCUCCACUCUGGAGCCCCCCUCACAUAGCACUGAGAUGCAGUGUCUUAGACCCCUGCUCCACUCGGGAGCCCAGAUGGCUGUUGCCUGUGAGAUGUAAACUCACAGAGGUAUAUAACAGAACAACAGCAAUCAUUGUAUCCUAUGCUGAAGGUAAACAUUCAAUCACAAUAGAUACCUUCUGCAAUCAUGUUUCUUACUGGUGCCAAGACUCUCCCAUGGCCACACACAGUUGUCAGUAUUGAGCAGCUCCUCCACUGUUGGGAGCCUGAACUCCGUCUGCUGCUCGUGAAGUUGAACGAUGGCAGCUGUCAAGGCUGCUUGUUCUCAUCCAGUUCUCUCGUCAUCUCUUGUCCUCCUCUCGUCUGAAUAAAAAGGGUGAUUAGACAGACUGUCGAUUCAGAUAUAUUACAUGACUAUUAGUUAUAGAGCUACUAUAGAGGCACAAACAGAGUACAAAGCAAUCAACUGGUUUCUAAAGCAUUUGUUGUCAUGCGGUUAUAACAUUAUACAAAACAUGCAGAGAUGUGGCUCACAAGAUACUGUUUAUGGUCACGUCAUUUCUCAUUUAAUGAAAUGUUUUGCAUUAGAUCAAUUAAAAACAUAGGUCAUGUAUACAUUUGAUUAUAAACAUGGUAUAAUGUGUAUGAAUAAUGCAUUUUCUUUCACAAAUCAGUUUUACUGCUGGAUGAAUAUUGGUCAUGUUGUUGUUGGGGCUCUACCUGUCAAACGGUAGAGGAAGUGUUUCCUCCCACACUGAGGUAAAGACCUGUCUGUCCUGUCUGACUAUCCUGUCUAAUGGGAGAGGUAUUGUUCCCUCCCACACUGAGGUAAAGACCUGUCUGACUAUCCUGUCUAAUGGGAGAGGUAUUGUUCCCUCUGCUUCACACUGAGGUAAAGACCUGUCUGACUAUCCUGUCUAAUGGGAGAGGUAUUGUUCCCUCUGCUUCACACUGAGGUAAAGACCUGUCUGACUAUCCUGUCUAAUGGGAGAGGUAUUGUUCCCUCUGCUUCACACUGAGGUAAAGACCUGUCUGACUAUCCUGUCUAAUGGGAGAGGUAUUGUUCCCUCUGCUUCACACUGAGGUAAAGACCUGUCUGACUAUCCUGUCUAAUGGGAGAGGUAUUGUUCCCUCCUACACUAAGGUAAAGUUUUGUCUGUCCUGUCUGAAUAUCCUAUCCUAUCCUGUUAUUUCAUCCCAGUCUCCUCGUCUGAGUCUGCUCUUGGGUUUCCCCGUUCCACUCCGCGUAACAGAAAGUUAAUAUUCCGUGGAAACAUGUUGCUGAAUAUGAACAUUUCUAAGGAAGGAGGCAAAGGGUAACGGUCUAGUUUCAGUUCCUGAUAAGGAAGUGGAACCAGGACAAUGAGGGAUGUGGAACUCAACUCCAGAUAAGGUCAAACGUCGAAGAGAGAAGACACUGCUGGGAGGGGGCCACAGGGGCCCACCCUGAAAACUAUCUGUCAUUUCUUCACGUAUUUUUCUUAAAAUUGCAUUGUUGGUUAAGGGCUUGUAAGUAAGCAUUUCACUGUAAGGUGAAAUACACCUGUUGUAUUCAGCGCAUGUGACAUAACAUUUGGUUUGAUUUGACUACAGUCCUGUCCCAUACACACACACUUCCACACCCAUGAGGGCCCUAGAUUUAGACAGGCCAUGACUAUAGCAGUGAGAGGAACCUAUUGCGUUUCUGCCUAGCAACAGAGACGGAGUGUUUAUCUUAGACAUGCAAGGUGUCAACUCCUCCUAGUCAGAAGGUAUGCUUGUGGGUAGAAUAAACUCGGUUUGAGCUUUUUUGGUUGUCCGUUUGAGUUUUUGCUCUAUUUGUUCAGAACCUAACAUAAUGUACCUUCAGGCCACUGUAGCACCCCAGCAACCCACUCCAGAAGCACAGUGUCAUUGAUGUCCAACUCUGCUUUGCUUCAAGGAGGCUGGUCUCCUCCUUCAGUCUUCUGACGUUCUGAAAAUAUACAAUUUAAGCUAAGGAAUAACAUAGGUGACAUUUUUUACUUUAAUGUAUACAGUCAUCUUGAUGUUUUCCUGCAUCAAGAUGACUAAUAAAGAGAAACCUGAGCCAGGAUUUCAGAAAAAAAAGAUCAGACAUGUAGAAAUAGAUACACAAGAAUAAAACAGUAGAUACAGGUAGGUAAAAAUAAAAAAGAUUUGAAAAAAAAAUACCUUCACAUGUCUUUUUGCCAACAUCCAUGUUGGUGAACUUCCUCUUAUUCCAGCCCACUGCCAGUGGUGUGAAUGUCUGUCUGUACUGUUAGAAAAACAUCUUCAGUCAGCUAUUCUAAUAAUGUACUACUGUGUGCCUGACUAAUCAACAUAAAGACAGUCAAGUUAAGGGAAUUAUGUUGUAAUCCUCAACUUUCUUCAGGAUUAGUUAUGUUAUCAUAAUGCACAGCCUUGGACAUGCACUUUGUCGUGACAGCAGCUCUGGAUAUAAAACUAUUCACCUGAUGGACAACUCCCCCGGUUGUGGUGCCGGCACCA